UUGCAACCAGGAGUUCUUGAGUGUCGGAGAGGAAAGCGGAAUUCCUAGUGUAGCGGUGAAAUGCGUAGAUAUUAGGAGGAACACCAGUGGCGAAGGCGGCUUUCUGGACGAUAACUGACGCUGAGGCGCGAAAGCGUGGGGAGCAAACAGGAUUAGAUACCCUGGUAGUCCACGCCGUAAACGAUGGAUACUAGGUGUAGGAGGUAUCGACCCCUUCUGUGCCGGAGUUAACACAAUAAGUAUCCCACCUGGGGAGUACGACCGCAAGGUUGAAACUCAAAGGAAUUGACGGGGGCCCGCACAAGCAGUGGAGUAUGUGGUUUAAUUCGAAGCAACGCGAAGAACCUUACCAGGACUUGACAUCCCUUGCAUAACCGUAAAAGGGUAAAUCCUUCGGGACAAGGAGACAGGUGGUGCAUGGUUGUCGUCAGCUCGUGUCGUGAGAUGUUGGGUUAAGUCCCGCAACGAGCGCAAC
rnacentral:rRNA from 1 species